AAGUCGUAACAAGGUUUCCGUAGGUGAACCUGCGGAAGGAUCAUUAUCGAUUGGCCGAAAGGCCUUGAUCUUUCAUACCUCUGUGAACUGUUGGCCCUCGGGCCGUCUAUAAACACUGUGUAAAGAAUGUAAUACAUGAAAACAUAAUAAAACUUUCAACAACGGAUCUCUUGGCUCUC
rnacentral:misc_RNA from 1 species